AGGUGAAAAGAUUUUUAGAGAUGAAGGGGAAAGACGAGUCUGCAACAGCCGAGAAAGUGACUUCGCGGAUUGUGAGAAAGGGUUUUUAUGUAUCACUUAUGUCGAGGACAAUAGGCGUUACGUUGGAUGUCUUGCUCUGGGAGGUAUUGGUGAAUAUGGGCGUAAAAUUCCUCGCGACGAGUCCCGUAAAUCAAAGGAAUAAAACGAUAAAAUGCUUCAAGAAGUAAAGAAUUAAAGUGUUUGAAAAGUA